UCAGGGACAUGUUAGCCCAAGUUUAUGGGGAUAAUGCCAUGAAGAAAACCGCAGUGUACAAGUGGAUUAAACGUUUUUCUGAGGGAAGAGAACGCGUCACUGACGAAGAGAGGUCAGGGCGACCAGUGACGAGCAGAACUGAUGAAAACAUUGAAAAAAUUCGUCGAAUUGUGCGUCAAAAUCGUCGGCUGACUGUGAGAAGCAUAGCAGACCAAGUAAACAUCGAUAGAGAAACAGUUAGGAAAAUCUUAACUCAGAAUCUUGGCAUGAGACAGAAUUCACUCUGUGAAAGUUGUCACAAUCAAAAUGAAGUCACUUGUGAUAAAAACCCUGACACACAGAGCUAAGGAAGGCCAUGAAAGGAAGAUUCUUAUGCACAAAUGCUUGAUAAUAAGAACUAUCACAAAAGACUCUGCAAAAACUACAACCUUGAAAAAGAGCAUAAAAAUCUUAAAAAAAAAAAUACUUCUGGGAGAACAUCUGCCCAACAGCUGCCUUUCCAGCCUCAGACUGUGCCACGCUUGUUAUUGAUUCUUGUUGCCAAGGAUAAUUACCAUGGUACCAAAAAUACCAUGUAAUUCUCUUUAUUUUUCCUUUGUAUUCCUUUACUUAACCUAAAUAUACAGAUAGCUAGUACUGUGGCAUGUACACAUACGUAUUCCCAUUACAAUGCCUAUCCCUGAAUAAAUGUAAUUUUCCUUUA